CUAAAAUGAACGGGACCGUUGCUGGAUUAAAUUUGUUUAAGAGUUCACUGCGCACUUUAAAUCUACGGAUAUCGAUUGGUGUAUCGCAAAACUUGACAGACUGAAUAUAUCUCACCCUUAUAAUGCCCCCGGCGUACCUUUUUAUGAGUUUAGACAAGGCCAGAACUUCCCGAUUAAUUUCACUCAAUCUUAGUCCAGAGAGUCACUGAAAGUUUACAUGAGGGGGUACAAAUGUACAUAAUCUGGUUUUGUGACAAACCUUCAACUCUGGAGUCUACCGGUUAAAGAUAGCGUUGCUGUCACUGGAAGGGAACCUGUAGCCCAGAGGACGACAGUUUUAUCUGCAGAUGAGGAAAGGAAGGUCCCAUCAUGGGGGUGCCACCUGCACUGGAUCACCUUGUCCCAGUGUUCCCCUGCCACUGUCUGAGGGAGGGGCUUUGUUAGAUCACCUGGGGUCAGAGAAAGGAAAAAUAAGUAACAAGGGGACAGCGUACAGUGCAAUCAAUACCCACUGGCAACACUGGGUAGUCAAUACUUCUGAGUUGCUGCUACCUUGCAGGUCACUGAUGAUUAUUUUGUUGUCAUACGAGCCGGUCAGAAGAUGAUGGGCUCCUGGCGAGAAUCGCACGGAGCGUAUGUCGCUGCUGUGGGGACGGUACGUCUGCACUAUGCGUCCUCCUCUUAUGUCGUACAACAAACAGGUACUGUCCUCCUGACCGGUGGCAAGCAGGCGGCCACUGGGAUCCACUGCUACUGAAGCAACUGCACUGCCUGCGUGAGACGGUGUGAAAACACGGGACACCUUUGCUGUGAUUUGGUGCCACUUGGGACGUCUAGUUUGCCUCAGUGAAGAGCCACGUGUAGAUUUAAAUACAAACAAAACAAUCGAACAAACAAAAAUGUAGGUGCAGAUCAUUAAACAUCGAUCCGGAUACAUUAAAAAUCCUUUUUUAAAGGUCCACUGUAUAAUAAGAAUUACUGACAUCUAGUGGUGAGACUGCAGACUGUAAAGGAUUCCUCCGUUUACCUCUCUCUUUCCCAAGCAUAUCAGGGAACUAACAACAGAGGCCUUCGUAUACCAGAAAGACUGUAUACACCAUCCUUCUCCUCCCUCUUUUUUUUGUUUAUGCAUCUUCAUUUGCAUAGAAGCUUCUGCUUCAAAAUGCAACAUGCAUGUUGAUUCAGGCUGAAGCAAGUCAUCUCAAAAUUGCUACCUCUGUCAAGCAAAGCUCUUGCCUAAUUUUAAAGCAAUAAUACAUUAUAUACAUUUUCUGCCAAUAAAGCCCACCUACAUGUUAUGCAGUGGACCUUUAAAACGGUUUUACUUUCUUCUUAUCUGAAUAUUUCUGAAUGGGGAAAGAAGACUGCAUUUUUCUUACUACUGUCCACCAAAAUGUGUAUUAUGUAUUCAAAAAAUAUUUAUAGAAAGAAGACAUUUCUACUAUGAUUAAUAAGGAAAAGGUGAUUUUUCUUCUUCAGAACUAUUUGUCUGAAAAUGUUCAAAGGAGCUGUAUUUGAGAAUGUAAAUGUCAAGUUGCUUUCAGAGCUUCUCCCGACCAGGAAAAAGCUCUAAAUAAUUCACAGCAAGUAACUGUGCGAGGGUCUAGCCCCUCUGACCCAAACAUCUCCAGCUGAGGAGAAAUCUACAGGAAAAUACUAUAAAUAAUAUACAGUGAAGUUGUAGCGGUACGCGAUGAGAGCCAUGACAUGACUCACCUGAGCCGUGCAGAGUUGUGCCUACCACCCGCACACAGCUGGGCACCCGAAGGUCCCAGAAACGAACCGUCUUGUCCUGCGAGCCGGAGGCGAUCAUCCACCCUCCCCAUGUGUACAGAGUCAGAACGUGGCCUGUUCCAACAAAUAUGAGUCUGUUUCUUCUACAUACCAGUGUGUCCGCUCAGUGCGUGAAGGCCUUGUCCUCUCUGACAGUCGGUUGUGUAGAUGUUGCAGUCUCCCGCACCAGCGCUGAUCAGAAUGGAUCCUCCACUCUCGGGACCCUCCAAGAAGGCCAGGUCUCUGAUGGUGCCAUCGUGCAUGCUGAACUCCAGGAACUGGAGACUCGCUGAGGGAAGGCAAGUCGUGGCUGCCGGUCCUUAAUGGAGUGCUGCUGCUCACACCACCAUGCUUGUCCCUCUGCAGCCCGGUGUCUGGAGUAUGGCCAGUGUUGGUCGUCUGAGGACUAGAGACACUGUCGUUUCCUGCCAGUCCGUUACACUGCUGGCCCAGAUGUGUCAUCACCUCGUCUCCUCUGUGGUCAAUACCCACAUUCAUCUCCUCCAACUUCUGAAUGGACCUAGACCAAAAAAAAGGGGGCCCUGAGGUUAAAUUAUAUCCACUUAAUCACUGAAAUCUUCACUCUGGCUUCCUCACCUGCUGAGAAAGGUCUCUGUGAGGUUGUGUUUGGCUCCAUCUUGUGGCUUCACUCCUCCCUCCAGCAGCAUCUGCUGGUAAAGCUGCCUCUGCUGCUGCUUCUGUUCCAGAUGUUGCUGCACACGGAGGCGCUGCCUGUAAAACUCCUGUAUGUGCUCAGUGGAGUCACCAGGCUGUACAAAUACACAUAAAGACAACAAACAAACAAGAGGCAAAGAGACACUGACGUAAAAACAAUAUUAUGUAGAGCAAGAAUUUGACAGUAUUUACAGGAUUUAUUUGACCUCUCAGUAUUCUCUGCUUUAAAGCUUGGCAGUACUCAAUGCUACAUUCAUACACAUAUUAUAACAGACAAACUCUCUCCCAGGAGUCACUGCUGUUAGUCGCACGCACGCACAGGUUUUCAUUCAUAGUGAGGACCCUCAUAGACAUGAUGCAUUCCCUACCCCCUUACCUUAACCAUCACAACUAAAUGCCUAACUCUAGCCUAAACCCAAUUCUAACCCUGACCCUAAAACCAGGUCUUAACCCUGAAAAAGUCAUUUAUUUUAUGGUUUAUAGGAUUUUUCGUCCUCUCAAAGCCACAAAUACAAUUUUUCCUAACUUUAACCUAACCCCAACUCAAAUCUUAGCCCUGAACUUAACCGGUUCCUUAGAAAUGAGGUUCUGUCUCAUUAGGAUCAGGUUUUGUUCUUUUGAGGACUAUUGAUCCUGACAAGGUCAAUGUUUAUGUUACAAAAUGUCAUAAAGAGGCAACAAAAUCAAGAACACACACACGCACAGUAAUCCAUUCUCAAGUGAAUUCUCCUCUCGAUAGGACCUGGGCUGCAUAAAGAUGAGCAAUCAUGGAGGUAGCACCAAAUCAAAUCAUAUUAUGAGCCUUCUCUGUCCAUGACCUCCACUAUUGGGACAGGGUCAUCAGAAGUACCCCAGUGUCCACUUGACAGGUGUGAUAGACAACUGGGGAAGGAUAUAUGAAAUGUGGUUGAAGAGGGCUCAGGGGUAUAUGCAUUUCAAUUCUCCUAAAUUGAAGACUAUGGAGGAAAAACAAACUCAAAACGGGCGGCCCACCAUCUUUUCCAGGAGUCAGGGGUGUGCGUGUGAUGUUGGGACCAUCCAGUCUUUGUGGCUGCUUCCUGUGUCAAUUCACAACCAUUUAUAUGAAUGCAAUGGAUUUAAAGAGAAGGAAACUGUAAAACAAAAGCAUGGGUUUACUUGGCCGAGAAACGGAUGAGAAAGAGAGGGAAGACAUUACUAAACUGUAAAGCUCUGACUCAUCACUGCGAGUUAAACUCAAAAGCUUACCUCUCAGGCGAAUCGUCUUGCUGAUGCACAUUAUUCUCCACCAGGCUCCGACUGAGAGUAGACUUCACGUUGGCCUCCAUGCCUCUCUUGUCCUGUGCGGCCAGACCGUGGGACAGGCCGUCCAGAGCUGGAUUGAGAGAUCUGGACAUGUAGGUAUCGGCUGAAUGAGGCCUGUGGCGAAAGGGUGAGGCAGGGCAGGGAGACAGGCGGUUGAUUAUUGGAGUCAGGAGGUCGGCGUGGCCCGCCUUGCUGGGCUUCACCAGCCGGUCCACGUGGAUGUUGAGGGUCUGCUGCUGGAAGGCGCAGGAGAAGGCACCUGGAGUGAGGUUCUGCAGCCAGGAGAGCAGCGACAAAUCCACUUCAUCACAGCCGUUCCCACAGAGCAGAUCCACGCCGAGCAGCACCUCCCCCUCUGUGAUUUCCUCUCCAGUCGCUUUACUCUAGGAAAAAACAGACAAUGGCACAGUGGUUAGCACUGUUGCCUCACAGCAAGAAGGUGCUGGGUUCGAUUUCCAGUCUGGGACUUGUCUGUGUGCAGACAUGACACAUACUAGGCUUUGUGUGACAUUUGGUGUUUUUUUAAUUGUAUAUGGGUUGUUUUUUUUAACCAGUAUUGGACCAAUACUGAUACUGAAUAUCAUAUUAACUCAUUCCCACCUCAAACUGUUUCAAUUUUCUAGAAUGAUAAGUGAAUUUCAGGGUGCAGUGGCACCUGCUAGUUCUAUAAACCUUCAAAUGAGAACAUGUAGAAAAAUGCUUUCAGAGUCAUAUUACCUGACAAAACUCGACACAGCACUCAUAAAGGAUCCCUUUAAUGAGCAGUUGGAAGAGGCGAUUCCCACUCGCCCUGAAGCCUGCCUCACUCAGCUUCCUGUCCGCAGGAAUGAACUCGGCAACCAUAAUGCAGGCUUCUUCAAAGCAGUGGACACGCGCGGUGCUUGGGUUCCAGUCUUUGAACUCCGCGUGGUGGGUGAGGCGAGGCAGGGUGAGGAGAAGACACAACUUGCUGUAGUCAUCCUUAGACGGGCAGAGGUCCUCCAGGUUGUGGAGACACUUGACCGCCUCCUGCAUGAGGUUGAAUGAACUGCAUCACUUCAUCCCAUUGGCCGUCCAGAAUCAGCUGCCUGUUAAAACCAGCAGAAGGCUAGCAUGCUGAUGUGCAGCUUCCUGGAGUUGAGGAAAUCCAGGAUCAGCUUGAUCACCUCCGCCUCCUUGAUGUUGAUCGUCUCGUCCGCUGUCAUGGUUACAGAGGCCGUCGAUCAUCUUGCGCGUGAUGCUCUUUGGGCCGAUGCCUGCCAGCUUGUUGAUCUCCUCCAUCUCGGGGCAGUAAGUGUAGACGGAGCGGAACUGGCAGCCGGCGUCGCGGAACAAAACCAAGAAGUUGUUGGCCCCCGAUUUCUCCAUUUCCUGUUCAGCUUUAUCCUCCACAUGAGGGACACGGGGGCGCUGGUGCCAAUCCCAGCUGACACAGGGUGAAAGGCGGGGUUCACCAUAGAGACAAACAACCAUCCACUCUCACGCUCACACCUGAGGUCAAAUCUCCAGCUCGGCCUCCUGCUGCAUCUUCCUCUGCUGGCUCUCCUUCUCCCUCCUCAUCCUUUUCUCCAGCAGCAUCGCCCUCUUCUGAGCCAUGUUCUCUUCGGCCUUCUCGUCAUCCUGAGCCAUUAAGAAAGAAAAUAGCCAAUGGCUUUCCACGUCAUCCUGCUGCAUCUCCAGACCAUCAUCCAGAGUCAGGUCCUCAAGUGGCUUCAUGACCGACAGAGGAACCUCAAUCAAGUUGCUCUUUGCUUGGCCCGAGGCCUCUGGAUGUGUAGGAGUCACCGU